rnacentral:rRNA from 1 species
CCCUGGGUUAGUCGGGACCUAAGCUGAGGCCGAAAGGCGUAGGUGAUGGACAACAGGUUGAUAUUCCUGUACUACCGAUAACCGUUUGAGAGAGGGGAUGACACAGUAGGAUAAGCUAAGCACACUGCUGGUUAUGUGUGCCCAAGCAUUGAGGCAGUCAAAGUAGGCAAAUCCGCUUUGAUAAUGCUGGGAUGUGAUGGGGAGCGAAAUUU